rnacentral:pre_miRNA from 1 species
UCUUCAAUCAUUCCACACACUCUCUCACCGGUCAGAGAGCCGAGAGAGUGUGGGAAAUGAAGAGA